GACGAACGCUGGCGGCGUGCUUAACACAUGCAAGUCGAACGGUAAGGCCCUUCGGGGUACACGAGUGGCGAACGGGUGAGUAACACGUGGGUGAUCUACCCUGCACUUCGGGAUAAGCCUGGGAAACUGGGUCUAAUACCGGAUAGGACCCUGGGAUGCAUGUCCUGAGGGGGAAAGCUUUUGCGGUGUGGGAUGGGCCCGCGGCCUAUCAGCUUGUUGGUGGGGUGAUGGCCUACCAAGGCGACGACGGGUAGCCGGCCUGAGAGGGUGACCGGCCACACUGGGACUGAGAUACGGCCCAGACUCCUACGGGAGGCAGCAGUGGGGAAUAUUGCACAAUGGGCGCAAGCCUGAUGCAGCGACGCCGCGUGAGGGAUGACGGCCUUCGGGUUGUAAACCUCUUUCAGCACCGACGAAGCGCAAGUGACGGUAGGUGCAGAAGAAGGACCGGCCAACUACGUGCCAGCCGCCGCCGUAA
rnacentral:rRNA from 1 species